GGUUCCCAUGGCGUGGCUCCGCCCACUCGGGGGCGGGGCUUGGUCCCGCGGUGCGGGUGGGUGCGGGAUGACCGGUAGAGCUCGGUGCGGCCGGUGCGGCUCCGUGCGGACGGUACUAUCCCGACGCACGGGAAUCCCAGCCCGGGCCAGAGAUAGGGGCUGAACUUUAGUCUCUGAGCAAUUAAGGUGCCUGAAACUGCACUUCAUUAAUGGUUGUUAUGCAAUAAAACCGAUAAAACUGC